rnacentral:rRNA from 1 species
GACGAACGCUUGCGGCGUGCUUAACACAUGCAAGUCGAACGGAAAGGCCCUGCUUUUGUGGGGUGCUCGAGUGGCGAACGGGUGAGUAACACGUGAGUAACCUGCCCUUGACUUUGGGAUAACUUCAGGAAACUGGGGCUAAUACCGGAUAGGAGCUCCUGCUGCAUGGUGGGGGUUGGAAAGUUUCGGCGGUUGGGGAUGGACUCGCGGCUUAUCAGCUUGUUGGUGGGGUAGUGGCUUACCAAGGCUUUGACGGGUAGCCGGCCUGAGAGGGUGACCGGCCACAUUGGGACUGAGAUACGGCCCAGACUCCUACGGGAGGCAGCAGUGGGGAAUAUUGCACAAUGGGCGGAAGCCUGAUGCAGCAACGCCGCGUGCGGGAUGACGGCCUUCGGGUUGUAAACCGCUUUCGCCUGUGACGAAGCGUGAGUGACGGUAAUGGGUAAAGAAGCACCGGCUAACUACGUGCCAGCAGCCGCGGUGAUACGUAGGGUGCGAGCGUUGUCCGGAUUUAUUGGGCGUAAAGGGCUCGUAGGUGGUUGAUCGCGUCGGAAGUGUAAUCUUGGGGCUUAACCCUGAGCGUGCUUUCGAUACGGGUUGACUUGAGGAAGGUAGGGGAGAAUGGAAUUCCUGGUGGAGCGGUGGAAUGCGCAGAUAUCAGGAGGAACACCAGUGGCGAAGGCGGUUCUCUGGGCCUUUCCUGACGCUGAGGAGCGAAAGCGUGGGGAGCGAACAGGCUUAGAUACCCUGGUAGUCCACGCUGUAAACGGUGGGUACUAGGUGUGGGGUCCAUUCCACGGGUUCCGUGCCGUAGCUAACGCUUUAAGUACCCCGCCUGGGGAGUACGGCCGCAAGGCUAAAACUCAAAGGAAUUGACGGGGCCCCGCACAAGCGGCGGAGCAUGCGGAUUAAUUCGAUGCAACGCGUAGAACCUUACCUGGGUUUGACAUGGAUCGGGAGUGCUCAGAGAUGGGUGUGCCUCUUUUGGGGUCGGUUCACAGGUGGUGCAUGGCUGUCGUCAGCUCGUGUCGUGAGAUGUUGGGUUAAGUCCCGCAACGAGCGCAACCCUUGUUCACUGUUGCCAGCACGUUAUGGUGGGGACUCAGUGGAGACCGCCGGGGUCAACUCGGAGGAAGGUGGGGAUGACGUCAAGUCAUCAUGCCCCUUAUGUCCAGGGCUUCACGCAUGCUACAAUGGCUGGUACAGAGAGUGGCGAGCCUGUGAGGGUGAGCGAAUCUCGGAAAUCCGGUCUCAGUUCGGAUUGGGGUCUGCAACUCGACCUCAUGAAGUCGGAGUCGCUAGUAAUCGCAGAUCAGCAACGCUGCGGUGAAUACGUUCCCGGGGCU